rnacentral:misc_RNA from 1 species
AACCUUAUGGACCUGCGGGCGUAUACCUGCGGAAGGAUCAUUACAGAGUUCAUGCCCUCACGGGUAGAUCUCCCACCCUUGAAUACUAUACCUUUGUUGCUUUGGCGGGCCGCUUUGGCUACUGGCUCUGGCUAGUAAGUGCCCGCCAAAGAACCCCAAAACUCUGAAUAUUAGUGUCGUCUGAGUACUAUAUAAUAGUUAAAACUUUCAGCAACGGAUCU